GAGGGCAUAGCCCAGUGGUAAAGUGUGUGCUUAGCACGCACGAGGUCCUGGGUUCCUUCCCCAGUGCCUCUG
rnacentral:tRNA from 1 species